rnacentral:lncRNA from 1 species
CUUCAGAGAGUGGAGAAGAGUAUCGGUCCAUUCAGAUGAGAUUCGCGUUUUCCUUUGAACAGCAUGUGAACAGCAAGAGACACAAGGAGGCGAGAAGAGGACAUGAUGAGCAUGGCAGAGCUCAGGAGGACUUCUUACAUCAGAAGGCAGUAGUGGUGGCUGAAGAAAGGCAAAGAGGACAUCAGAAGGCAGCGCAGAGAUGUGUCAGAAGGAGUGUCGCAGUCUGGAUGUCCAGCGACCAAAGUGGACAGAUGAGGUGUGUAAUUGUGAAUGCUUAUCAAAGGUCACAUGAGUUCAGGAGGAAAGAAGAGGACAGGAUGAGCACAGCAGAGCUCAGGAAGAUGUCUUAACAACAGGAUGCCAAAGAGUAGCAUGUGUGUGUCUGGGGCGUCUGCACAUCUCAGUUGAGUGUGUGCUGAUUAGGAAGUGUAUUUGUGUAAGGGCUAUGUAGGCAGUAAUGUGGUAAUGUCUGUGUGUUGUUGUAGUGUUUUGUAGGUUAGCUGCCAGUGAAAGUGCUGUGUCUGUAAUGUUGUGUUCCUUUUGUGUUGUAUUGACUUAGUUGACUUGGUAGCAGGAUGAUUGUGACAAGUAUGUAGUAUUGAAAGGUUUGUGUUGUAGGCUGUAAGGUGUGUGAUGUUGUUGUUGUUAUGUUGUUAAAACAUAUGUGUAGUGCAUUUACAUAUGUUUUAUUUUUGUAUGUGAAAAUGUAUGUCUGUAUUUGUUUUAUUUGUCAUGUAUAUGUGUAUGUAUACUUACAUGCAUUAUUGCAAGUGUAGUCCUCAGUCAUGUGUGAGU